rfam:TPA: Bos taurus chromosome 19, whole genome shotgun sequence.
UCCUGGUGGUGCAGAUGGUAAAGCAUCUGCCUACAAUGCAGGAGACCCGGGUUCGAUCCCUGGGUCAGGAA